UCUUCAUCCAAGUUGUUUACUUACUGGAACUCGAUCGACAAGAAAACAACCCCAAAGAAACAACUCUAGACCCAAAAUGGUUCAUCCACUUCAUAUACAAACUCUCCCAAACCCUAAUCGAUGAACACAACUGAUCAAUCUAUGGUGCAAUUCUCGAAUGGUAUCGCUCUACCGCCUUAUCGGAUUUCAUCCUAAUCUACCCAAGCGACGCCCGUUGAGCCAUUUUAGCCCUAAGAGAGAGUUUGAAGAAUAUAGGGGAGAAAGUGGUUUUUGGUUGGCAUAAAGUUAAAUCGGUGAUGCCUUCUGCUACGUUUCAUCUGCAGGUGGGGGAACCGUUUUCCUCACAUAGCAUGUGGUAGUUGAAGGAGAGGGGUUGAGUUACAGGUUUCAAAGCGAGGAAGGAGAGCUUGGGUUAUCGAGUUCUUCAGAUAAAUUAACCUAACCCAUGUAAUGUAGAAGCUCCGUAUUUUGAAAUGAGUUAGAGACAAAAUUUUCAAUUGCUUGACCAUCAACAACUCCAUUUCUGAUCAGUUCCUGUAUACUAUCGUUUCUGAUCAGUUCACUUAGCAAUAAUCAGAUUCCUUUGCUUC